GGCUUUGGGAAGGAGGCAGGGGACUCUGAUAGAGUCCCCCUGCCUCUUUCCCAAAACC
rnacentral:miRNA from 1 species